rnacentral:rRNA from 1 species
UACGUAGGGGGGCAAGCGUUGUCCGGAAUCAUUGGGCGUAAAGAGCGUGUAGGCGGCCAGAUAAGUCCGCUGUGAAAACUCGAGGCUCAACUUCGAGCUGUCGGUGGAAACUAUUUGGCUAGAGUCCGGAAGAGGAGAGUGGAAUUCCUGGUGUAGCGGUGAAAUGCGCAGAUAUCAGGAGGAACACCAAUGGCGAAGGCAGCUCGCUGGGACGUGACUGACGCUGAGACGCGAAAGCGUGGGGAGCAAACAGG